rnacentral:rRNA from 1 species
CCUACGGGAGGCAGCAGUAGGGAAUCUUCCACAAUGGGCGAAAGCCUGAUGGAGCAACGCCGCGUGGGUGAAGAAGGUCUUCGGAUCGUACAACCCUGUUGAUAGAGAAGAAAGUGCGUGAGAGUAACUGUUAACGUUUCGACGGUAUCUAACCAUAAAGCCACGGCUAACUAAGUGCCAGCAGCCGCGGGAAUACGUAGGUGGCAAGCGGUAUCCGGAUUUAUUGGGCGUAAAGGGAACGCGGGCGGUCUUUUAAGUCUGAUGUGAAAGCCGUCGGCUUAACCGGAGUAGGGCAUUGGAAACUGGGAGACGUGAGUGCAGAAGAGGAGAGUGGAACUCCAGGUGUAGCGGUGAAAUGCGUAGAUAUAUGGAAGAACACCAGUGGCGAAAGCGGCGCUCUGGUCUGUAACUGACGCUGAGGUUCGAAAGCGUGGGUAGCAAACAGGAGUAGAUACCCGGGUAGUC